UGAUCGUGGCAAAGCUAUGGGAUGAAGAGCCAUAUAAAUCCACUGGAUUUAUUCUGGAGGGCUUUCCUCUGCUUCCAGAGGAGGUGUCCUUUCUGGUGAAGCGUCACCUGUACCCAGACGCUGUGGUGCUGAUGAAGUUAGAAGUAACGGAGGUGGUGCACCGCCUGCUGUCCCCACGGCUCACCCGCUGGAGGGAGAGACGAACCCGACGGAGAGAGCGUAUGCAGCUGCUUAAAGAGCUACGCGGAAAAAACAGGGAAGAGGCCGUGAGCCAGCGGAGAGCUGAGCUGGAGGCUGAGCAUGCAGCAGCUCUCAAAGUAAGGCGCGUCCUCAGUCAUCACGUGACAGCACAGUGGCCUUUAACGUGACAUCGCUGA
ensembl:lncRNA